GAUGAACGCUAGCUACAGGCUUAACACAUGCAAGUCGAGGGGCAGCAUGAACUUAGCUUGCUAAGUUUGAUGGCGACCGGCGCACGGGUGAGUAACACGUAUCCAACCUGCCGAUGACUCGGGGAUAGCCUUUCGAAAGAAAGAUUAAUACCCGAUGGCAUAGUUCUUCCGCAUGGUAGAACUAUUAAAGAAUUUCGGUCAUCGAUGGGGAUGCGUUCCAUUAGGUUGUUGGCGGGGUAACGGCCCACCAAGCCUUCGAUGGAUAGGGGUUCUGAGAGGAAGGUCCCCCCACAUUGGAACUGAGACACGGUCCAAACUCCUACGGGAGGCAGCAGUGAGGAAUAUUGGUCAAUGGACGAGAGUCUGAACCAGCCAAGUAGCGUGAAGGAUGACUGCCCUAUGGGUUGUAAACUUCUUUUAUACGGGAAUAAAGUGAGGCACGUGUGCCUUUUUGUAUGUACCGUAUGAAUAAGGAUCGGCUAACUCCGUG
rnacentral:rRNA from 1 species